rnacentral:rRNA from 1 species
CAGAGACUGCAAGCGUUACUCGGAAUCACUGGGCGUAAAGGGAGCGCAGGCGGAAUCGUGUGUCGGAUGUGAAACCCGGGGGCUCAACUCCCGGACUGCGUCUGAAACUGCGAUUCUAGGGACUCGGAGGGCCGGUGGAAUUCCUGGUGGAGCAGUGAAAUGCGUAGAUAUCAGGAGGAACACCAACGGCGAAGGCAGCCGGCUGGACGAGAUCCGACGCUCAGGCUCGAAAGUAUGGGGAGCAAAAAGGAUUAGAUACCCUUGUAGUCCAUACUGUAAACGAUGUCGACUAGGUCUUGGGGCAUUCGAACGCCCCAGGGCUCAAGCUAACGCAAUAAGUCGACCGCCUGAGGACUACGGCCGCAAGGCUA